GGAGCCGGACAGGUGGCCGCGGGCGCCAGACAUUGUCUGAGGUCCGAGGAAAGUCCGGGCACCACAGGGCAAGGCGCUGGGUAAUCCCCAGGGGGAGCGAUCCUACGGAAAGUGCCACAGAGAAGAGACCGCCUAAGCGGGCUUCGGCCCGCCGGCAAGGGUGAAACGGCGGGGUAAGAGCCCACCGCCUUCCCGGUGACGGGAAGGGCACGGUAAACCCCGUCCGGUGCAAGACCAAAUAGGGGGGGAGAGGCGGCCCGCCUCGUUGGACUCCCGGGUAGGUUGCUUGAGGCCGCGGGUAAUCGCGGUCCCAGAGAAAUGGUCACCGCCGGGUCCGCCGCGAGGCGUUCCCGGAACAGAACCCGGCUUACGGCCGGCUCCGGCU
rnacentral:RNase_P_RNA from 1 species